rnacentral:rRNA from 1 species
UACGAAGGGGGCUAGCGUUGUUCGGAAUUACUGGGCGUAAAGCGUGCGCAGGCGGCUUCUCAAGUCAGUGGUGAAAGCCCGGAGCUCAACUCCGGAACUGCCAUUGAAACUGUGAAGCUUGAGGACGAGAGAGGUGAGUGGAAUUCCCAGUGUAGAGGUGAAAUUCGUAGAUAUUGGGAAGAACACCAGUGGCGAAGGCGGCUCACUGGCCCGGUACUGACGCUGAGGUGCGAAAGCGUGGGGAGCAAACAGG